UACGAAGGGGGCGAGCGUUAUCCGGAAUUAUUGGGCGUAAAGAGCUCGUAGGCGGUUUGUCGCGUCUGCCGUGAAAGUCCGGGGCUCAACUCCGGAUCUGCGGUGGGUACGGGCAGACUAGAGUGAUGUAGGGGGAGACUGGAAUUCCUGGUGUAGCGGUGAAAUGCGCAGAUAUCAGGAGGAACACCGGUGGCGAAGGCGGGUCUCUGGGCCGAUACUGACGCUGAGACGCGAAAAGCGUGGGGGAGCGAACAGG
rnacentral:rRNA from 1 species